AAUGAGGGGGUUAGAUGAGAUGACCUCUAAAGUCCCUUCUAACUCUGACUGAAGUUAUGAGUAUGUCUCAGAACUUAGCAAAAGCAGCCAGGAGAGAUGGUGAGAGGUCACAGCACCCACCAAAAGCAUUUAAAUGUUAGAUCUCUCGGGUGGAGGGAGGGAAGCAGCAAGCUGAGUUGGGACUAUUUUUUCAAGCACUGAUUUCCCUUAAUAGGGCUAAGAGGUCACCAGACCACAGACAGGGAGCAGGGCAUCUGGGCAGCCAGCAGCUCCCAUUGACUCUCAGGGCUGUGAAACAGCAGACACCAGAACUCCCACCCGAGGGCCCGCCGCAGCUCUACAGCUCUCUGCCCCAAAUCCCCAGGAAUGGCCUAACACGCCCCUGGAACAGAAGUCUCCUCCCUUUUUCUCCAGGCACCUUCUGGAUGGGGCAAUCCGUCCUACCCCACCACAUCUUCCUCCCUCACUUGAUAAUCAAAACACUCCUGGGUUUUGAAAAUCAUUUCACUACUCAGCACCUAAGGUUGAGUUAAUCAAGAUUCAAGAUCUAGAAAUCUCUUUGGUGUAUGUCUCUGGAACAGGAUUCUUUGAACCCGAUUCCCCUAAGAGCUGUAAUUAUGUCUUAGCCAAUAUUUGGAUAUGGAAGGGCUGUUGACACUGCUGUCAGUCUCUGAAUGCCUCAUCCCUUCUUUCUUCCUCUAUUAUUAAGUUUUUACACAAAGAUGUGUGGGAAAUCUACAAUCUAACAGUUGAGUCAACUUCUAAGAUUUGGGAGCAGGCUGCCUGUCAAAACAAACUCUGACUUCAAUCUUCACCCACUUCUAACCUGAGAAGAACAAACUAUGAGUGUCAUUUAAAAUAUGCUAGAUUUUUCCUUUCAAAACUAUUCAAAGGGGGAAAAUAUCCAAAUCUCUCCUAUUAAUUACAAAAGAAAUCUGAAUUGCCAUCCAAAAGCAUUUGAGAGGAUGUCACACGUGUCUAUUAAAUAGAACAAGGAGCAGUUGAGAGCUUUUCUCCUCGAGUCUUUAUACAAUAUUCCAACUAUUCAAGAGAAUGAGCAGCCAGUGUCCCCAAACUGCUGGUGGGUGAAGGCAGAUGCAUCUCAGAGGAGACAGAAAACUCUCCUGGAAAGAAUGUCUGUCAUUUCCUCAAUGGUACGGGCUAACCGUGGUCAAACAGAAUUCACUCAACUCCACUCCCCAAGGUCAGAGCGACAGUCAAACAAGCGCCACCCCCAGUUAUGAGUAUGGAAAGAGCGGGCUAAGGCACAAACACGCAAGUGUUCAAGACAGUGACAUAUUCCUUCUCCAACGGUCCACACUGAACAACAACCAAAGCCCACAGCAACAGUGCAGAGCAAAAACCAAAGAAAUCUGACAGUGUUGGGGCGAGCCAAAAGCUCUCUUCCAAGAGGGAGAAUGAAAGCAGCAAGAAAACAAUUUUAGAGCCCUUAAAGUUUGGAAAUUGGACAUGCGUGCCCUCUACAACCCUGAGGCGUCAGGGGUUAUGACAUUUAAUUAUAUAUUCCAACAGUUCCUCCCAUAACGAAUAUCUGAGUUUUGUAUUAGCAGCUGAAAUACAGCUAGCAGUGGGGGCUGAGGGGGAAGAGAAAAAUAUACCACAGGAAGUAUUUUUCUCCUCCUCCAAUCAUUAAGACACCCCGGGGGGAAACAGGCAUGAUGUGUCACCUUUAGAGACGUGGUUGAGUCUGAAACCCCUGUGAGGAGAAAACCUUUUAAAUGACCCUGAACACUGGCUCGCGAUGCCCUGGGGCCCCACUCGUCUCUUCAGACCUCCGAGUCCAUUCUGUAUAACUUCUGAAGUAGGUGUUCUCACUUAAACCCCCAUUCUUCCCCUACCACACCCUCUUAAAAAAAAAAAAAAAAAAAAAAAGAGGUCGGGUUUCCCUGGCUCAAGGAUAACGCUCCCUCCUACUGUCCACCAAUCGCCCGUGUCCAGGACUCAAGUGGCCAUCUCCCAUUUGCGGAAUCAGCGCCGGGCCAAGCCGUGGUUUACACACCCGCUUUACAGUGAUCAAUGGGGCUAUGGAAACAGCAGACACCGCCGGAGCCUGCUGGCCUCCCAUCUGGAGCCUCGCGGGCACCGAAGGUAGGAGGGGGCCCACUCGCGGGUCAAAACAAUCCCUCCCCGGCGCCGGGGGCGGUGUCCCCGCGGAAUCUCCAGCCUCGCGCCUCCCGGGCCGGCGCGCCCCAAGGCGGCACGGCCGCGCUCGCGAGGCCCAGGGAAGUGAAAUCACACAUUCCGGCUCCCAAAUAAGGAGCGAGACUAAAUAAACCUCUGAGAUCCGACUUCUCCAAACCAACCGACCAACCAGCUCAAUGAGUAAUGGGCCUUUUGUGCCCGCAGAAAGAAAGGAAGGAGGGAGGAGAGGACGGGGAACCACAACCUCCGAAAAUCACUUCCUUGAGACGGGGUGAAAUUAGCAGAAGUGGUCCCGGAGCCAACCGUCGCGACUCGGCUGGAUCCCGCUCAAACCCCAAAAUGGCAGAGUCCUCACGAGUCCUCCGAGUCGCCGCCACUCACCCCGGAGAGCUACAAAGAGGAUGAGCUCUUUUCUGGCCUUUCAGAGACCGCAAGGGACAGUGGAAAGAGAACAGAAUUUAGAGACAAAUGACCUGAAUUCAAGUCUAUCCUCGAGUUGAGUCACCUUGAGCAAGCCAUUUAUCUUUUCUUUGUACCUGAAAAAAUGAAAAAAAUAAUAAAAUCGAAUUUCAGAGCUGA